rnacentral:rRNA from 1 species
AGUGAACGCUGGCGGUAGGCCUAACACAUGCAAGUCGAACGGCAGCACAGUAAGAGCUUGCUCUUACGGGUGGCGAGUGGCGGACGGGUGAGGAAUACAUCGGAAUCUUCUUUUUCGUGGGGGAUAACGUAGGGAAACUUACGCUAAUACCGCAUACGACCUACGGGUGAAAGCAGGGGAUCUUCGGACCUUGCGCGAUUGAAUGAGCCGAUGUCGGAUUAGCUAGUUGGCGGGGUAAAGGCCCACCAAGGCGACGAUCCGUAGCUGGUCUGAGAGGAUGAUCAGCCACACUGGAACUGAGACACGGUCCAGACUCCUACGGGGGGCAGCAGUGGGGAAUAUUGGACAAUGGGCGCAAGCCUGAUCCAGCCAUACCGCGUGGGUGAAGAAGGCCUUCGGGUUGUAAAGCCCUUUUGUUGGGAAAGAAAAGCAGCAGGUUAAUACCCCGCUGUUCUGACGGUACCCAAAGAAUAAGCACCGGCUAACUUCGUG